rnacentral:rRNA from 1 species
UACAGAGGUCCCAAGCGUUGUUCGGAUUUACUGGGCGUAAAGGGUGCGUAGGCGGUUGUUUAAGUCUGACGUGAAAUCUCCGGGCCUAACCCGGAAACUGCGUUGGAUACUAUUCAACUAGAGGAAUGGAGGGGAGACUGGAAUACUUGGUGUAGCAGUGAAAUGCGUAGAUAUCAAGUGGAACACCAGUGGCGAAGGCGGCCUUCUGGACAGUGACUGACGCUGAGACGCGAAAGCGUGGGGAGCAAACAGG